rnacentral:misc_RNA from 1 species
ACCAGCAGUUGACUGUGGGUGGUGGAUGCGGGCAGGCGAUCUGGGUGUUGACGUUAAAGCGCUGCUCCCCCGGGACCAGCUGUCGCUGCCACCAGUGACCCAUUCAGAUAUAAACCACUGUGUGUUUCACUUCACCUUUCUGUGGAUUUAACUUAUUUACUAUAGUGUUAUCAGAGGACUAUUUUCAAUAGUCACUUCAACACAUCGGAACUUAUGAGAGGUGUCCACUUCGUCAAGUGCAUAACCUCUUACAUACACGUUAAAUAACCGACAGUAUAAAAUGAGGAUGAAGACCCAUAUCUAUGUUUGGGCUGCAACUUCUCUGCUGUUGGUUGUUGGAGUAAGGGGAGGAUCAAGAGUCAAACUAGUCAACAAUGGGUAUGAGGGUGUGGUGGUGGCCAUAUCCCAGGAGGUGGAUGAAAUGGAUGGACCUGUUAUCAUUGAUUCCCUUAAGGAAAUGAUCCAAGAGGCAUCAAGAAGGUUAUAUAGAGCCACACAUAAACGAGCAUAUUUCCGGUCAGUAAAAAUCCUCAUCCCCAAAUCUUGGACCAAUACUAGUGUCAUUGGUAAUGCAUUGAGCGAAAGUUUCCAAGACAGUGAGGUUAGAGUGGACAUCAUGAACAGUGUGUAUAAAAACCAGCCAUAUACACAGCAAACUGGCGGUUGUGGUGACCCUGGUUUGUAUAUUCAUCUCACUGCAGAGUACCUCACAGAUCGACAGCAAUCUGCCUGGUGGGGACCGCGAGGGAAAGUACUACUGCUUGAGUGGGCUAAGUUGAGAUGGGGUGUGUUUGAUGAACUGGGUUAUCCAGGUGAUGAGAGUUUCCCGCUCUUCUAUAUCUGGGAGCAAAGCAAUGGAAGAUUUCCAGGUACUGGGGUUCUUCUUCCCACCUGCUGUGCCAAUGUACCAGUGGAAGGACGUCUUAUAGACAAGACGGGUAGGAGUACGUGUGCAUUAACACCUCAAGGAGAACCUGAUGAGAACUGCCGUUUUCUGCCGUACAAAGAUCAGCUUGCAACCUCUUCACUUAUGUCUUAUCCACUCAUCUUCAGUGACACGGUUGUCAAUUUCUGUAGUGGGCCAGAUAGUGACCACCCUCAUAAUCCUGUGGCUCCAACAAAGCAAAAUCUCUUCUGUGGUGGCCGAUCUGUGUGGGAAGUCAUGAUGGGACACAAGGACUUCGCAAAUGAUGCGAAUCCUCCAACUGAAAGGUAUUUGGACCCUGACAUACAAGUUGUACAACAUGCUGAUGCCAACUAUGCCUUAGUAUUAGACUACUCUGGUAGCAUGAAUGAUCUUUACCGUAUCCACAAGCUACGAAAAACAGCACGACGUUGGAUUUUACAUGAAGUGGCAACAGGAAGCUACGUAGCAAUUAUAAGAUUUAGCAAAUAUGCCCAGUUGGUUCAUCGCUUGAUUAAAAUCACCGAUGAGGCUUCACGAAAAGGUCUUGCAGACUCAAUAACGACAAAAGCAGAUGGUGGAACCAGCAUUGGAGCUGGACUGUAUGUAGCAGUCAAAAAGACCUUGGCAAAUGUGAAGAACCCUGUUAUUCUACUGAUUACCGAUGGUGAGGAAAAUGAAAACCCUAGAAUUAAAGACAUCCUACAGAACGUCCUGGAUUCUGGUGUGCGCGUCAUUACUGUAGCCUUUGGGGCAGAAGCAGAUCCAAAGUUAGAAAAAAUUGCACAGCUGACUGGUGGUAAAACAUUCACAGUCAAUGAUAUUGAUGAAGGCCAUAUGUUGGAGGAUGCCUUUGAUGGAGCCCUGACCUACCAGCCACCACCACCCCGUAGUAACACCACAGUUACAAUCCACGAGGAAGUCUACAGAGGCACCGAGCUGCAAACAGGUUCAAGCUUCAUGGUGGACUUUACAGUUGGGCAAAACCUGGUGCUUAGGCUAGACACUGAUGAUCGAUACCAUGUUACUCAUGAACCUCACUUGGUGCGUCCUGAUGGGAAUAUUGUUGGGGGUGCUGUCUUUGAUCCAAACACCUUCACAUGGAUCCUCAAAGUACCAAUGGCAGAGCAAGGAGAGUGGAAGUGGCGGGUUGGACUGUCUGGCUCUGCAGAUAAAUUUAUUCGAUUGAAAGUGACUGCCAUGACCCGUGACCCCACUGUCUUCCCCAUCACCACCAAAGCCUGGAUGAGCAGUGGUGCACGGGAAGUCAAUGCUUCAACAGACAGAGUUAUCAUCUUUGCUGAAGUCAAACAGGGAAAUAAUCCUGUCGUCAAUGCUGAUGUCAGAGCCCUGGUAACUCCACCUGGUGAAGCUGAGCCUGAUGAGGUGUACAUACUAUUAGAUAAUGGUCAAGGAGCAGACUUUCAGGCUGGAGAUGGCAUUUACUCCCGCUACAUGACUCGUUACUCCAGAACUGGUCGUUACAGCGUCAAGGCUCAGGUUACAGAUGGAGGAAGAGCAGUUAUAAAUAAAGGUUUCCUUACUUCAUCUCAACGGAAACGACGCUCAGCCGAGGCCAGCUAUUAUGAAGGUAACUGCAAUACCAGUACCUGCAUCAGAUUUUCAUCCUCCUGCAGCCGUGAGAGACUUACGUAUUGUUCUCUUGGAUGAUGUUGAAGGUCCUUCAGACUUUAACAGGGUCAACAUUAGUCUCAUUUGGACUGCUACCGGUGAUGAUCUGGAUGUUGGUAGUGCAGCGCAGUAUGUACUUCGUAUGACAAGUAACAGAAAUGAUUUAUCAGAGAACCGCUUUAACAACGCAUCCAGUGAGACUAUAAUUUAUGACUCCCCUGUUGAAGCUGGAGAAAAUAUCAACAAAACUGAGGAACUAU